GAGUUUGAUCGUGGCUCAGAACGAACGCUGGCGGCAUGCCUAACACAUGCAAGUCGAACGAGACCUUCGGGUCUAGUGGCGCACGGGUGCGUAACGCGUGGGAACCUGCCCUUAGGUUCGGAAUAACUCCCCGAAAGGGGUGCUAAUACCGGAUAAUGUCUUCGGACCAAAGAUUUAUCGCCUUUGGAUGGGCCCGCGUUGGAUUAGCUUGUUGGUGGGGUAAUGGCCUACCAAGGCGACGAUCCAUAGCUGGUCUGAGAGGAUGAUCAGCCACACUGGGACUGAGACACGGCCCAGACUCCUACGGGAGGCAGCAGUGGGGAAUAUUGGACAAUGGGCGAAAGCCUGAUCCAGCAAUGCCGCGUGAGUGAUGAAGGCCUUAGGGUUGUAAAGCUCUUUUACCCGGGAUGAUAAUGACAGUACCGGGAGAAUAAGCUCCGGCUAACUCCGUGCCAGCAGCCGCCGUAAC
rnacentral:rRNA from 2 species